UGAGCCGAGAUCACACGGUUGCACUCCAGC
rnacentral:piRNA from 1 species